rnacentral:lncRNA from 1 species
AUGAGGAGGGUCUGGUGGUUACCAUGGAGACGGACAUCCGCUGGCCCCUGGGCUGAGCUGGUGGAGCGGUUGGUGUCCAGGCAGGUUCUCCCUGGGGGGCAGGUCCCAGCCCGGCUGGCACCUGCUCCCCCCCACCCCCGCAGCGCUGCACCGGCUGUCAUGGUGAUGCUGCCACUGAGCCUGAUCCUCGCCGUGUGUGGCUGGGUGUGCGGCCUGCUCAGCUCCCUGGCCCGGAGCCUCCCCCUGCUGCUCCUCACCGGCUGCUACUUCUUGCUGGGAAGUGAGUCUGGGGUCCCUGGGGGGCUUCGCUCUGGGCUGCAGGUCCUGGGAGUGGGGUGCUGGCCCUCCUGCUCCUCUCGGGGUUGGCACCGGACCUGCGCCCUGUGGGGCCCUCUCGGGGCAGGGGCGUCUGUGGGGAGUGCCGGGGCCAAGCUUCUCAGAGCCGUGAUCUCCAGGGUGACCCCCGACCUUCCCUGCUGGGGGUGGGGGGCCGGCUCCCCACCUGCUCCCUCAUUUGCAGACUGCCCUGCAGGGAGGGGGUGGGCGGGCAGGGCUCCGGCUCAGCACGAGGAGGGUGGCGGAGUCCUGCGCACCCCGGCUGCACCUGUGCUGGCUGGUUCCACUGCUGUGUUGGUGCAGCAGCUGGCCUGCACCCGGCGCUGGGCCCAGUACCGCACAGGCGCCCCCUGGUGGCACUCGGAGGCCCGGAGAGGCCUGAGGAUCUGCCCGGGUCAGGGAGGACCUUGCCCCGGGGCCCGCAUCAUCCAGGGCCCCCGGCUGCCCGAGGCUGGCAGCCAGCAGAGGUGGACAGGUAGCUUGCGGGGUCACCCCUUGGUCAUCUGGGGCCAGGCCCGAGACGCUCUGGCUGCUCCCUCCCUCCUUGCCGGGGAUGCUGGGUUCCUGGGGAGACCUUGCCCGCAGGGAGGAGCCGGGCGUGGGGAGGCAGCCACGGGAGACUAUCGCUCCCCCUCUUCGUGGAGGAACGACACAGGACCCUGCGCUGUUCUUUCGUCUGCUCGGCCCUCCCCGGGUUUGCUGCUGGUUCUUCCCGGGUUGGCUACUAUCCCUUCCACCUCCGUGGAAGGGCAGUUCCCCCUGGCCACAUUCCCCACUUCCGCAGGGGAGCGGCACACCGCCGGCCGGCUCUCUCGGGGGCUGCACAGGUGUUCCUUCAGCUAG